rnacentral:tRNA from 1 species
GCGCCCUUAGCUCAGCCGGAUAGAGCAACAGCCUUCUAAGCUGUAGGUCGUUGGUUCGAAUCCAACAGGGCGCACCA